CACAGCCGUCGCCGUAUCAGUGGUCUGGUAAUUUCGCGCUUCCUUUUUCUUGUUGUGGAUGAGUUGACGCCAAUCCGGUUUUGAGUUUCCGCGUGCUUCUUCCUCGCUUCCGCCGUAUUCAUUCUUUGUCAUCUGUCUUGUGUGUUUGUUUGAGUGUUGAGCCCCUUCCUCCGGCCCCUUCUCCCUCACUGCCUCCCAACAUCACCGCCACCACUAUCUCUUCCCUCUUCUCCACGCCGUUGUAGACACACACACACGCAUACAUAUAUAUAUGUGUGUGUGUGUGUACGUAUAUGCACGCACAGUCGAACGUGCUCGCCUCCACAUAGAUGCAUGCACGACCACUCACGCAUACGUCUUUUGAGCGUCUUGGUAUCGCCCUCCUCCUCCUCCUCUGCAACACGCCGUUGUCCCUCUAAACUUGCAGGCACCCUCUUCUCUCAUCUGUGAACUCGCUUCUCCAUCCAUUGUCCCUCACCCCCUCCCUCCUCCGCCCAAGCGCUGCGUGAUCCGCCACGACUCUCACUCCGUAGCCUCUCCCUGCCCGUCGCUCGGUGCACACGACCGGGUCUGCGACUUCGCUUUUACGUCUUCCUUCUUUUCUUUCGCCUUUGCCUCCUCCCUCCUCCUCCUCCUCCCCCUCCCCAUCCUCACACACACAUCGCAGCUCAGUGUGGGCGGUCCUCAUCUCGUGUGCGGAACGCUCUUCCCUCCAGCGCUUCCUGGGAGGUGGGAGUCACCACCGCAUUCCACUGGGCGUUUGCGUGCGGUUGUGUCCGUGCGCCCGCAGCAACAGGAGCCGGCUGUCGCAAGUGUGCAUCGGCCACCACUAUAAGCCAGUCGCAUCCGCAGGAUAUCGCUCCCUCGCCUUCGGAGUGGGCACACACAAGCACACACAUCAGCACCCGCACACUCACAAGCACAGACGCACUGCUGGGCCGCCUCUUUUAAGGUGGAGGCAGAGGGGCCACAGACACGGGACAGUCAAGCCGUCCGUGAAACAGCACAGGCCAUGAACCAGGGAUACAACACCUACUACAGCCAAGGCACCCCGCAAGGGGGCGCGUAUGGCAGCAGUGCAAACUACUACGGCGGUGCGGCUGCGGCACCUGCCGGAGGUGUCGGCAGCGGGUACGGUGCACAGGCUCAGCCUCAGCAGCCACAGGCACAGCAAGUUGGAGCCUACGGUGUCGCACAGGCGACGUCGGCCGGUUCGUGGAGUAACACCUAUCAGGGCCUCGGCGAGUACCAUAGUGGCGUUGCCACCGCUGCACCGACGUCGUCGCCGUCGCAAGGCUACUACGGAGGCGGCGCAGCGACCACAACCGCCAGCAGCUUCCAAGUCGGAUACGAUGGCUACGCGCAAGGGGCCACAGCGGCCGCCACAAACAACGGUGGCGUUGCCGCUGGUGUUAGCAACGGAAGCUACGCUGGUGUGACAGCCAUGAACGCGUACGACCCUCAGUCAACGCAGCCAGCGCAACAGCCCUACUACCCACCGCAGCCGCCUCAAGGCGGAUACUACGGCAAUGCCAAUGCGUGCCAGGCGAACAGCACACCAGCGGCUGCUGCGGCACCGGCGCCCGCGGUCCUCAACACCACCGACGACAACGGUCUGCGGUGGACCUGGUCGUGCUACCCGACGACAUCGAAGGCGAAGACGAAGGAAAACCCCUCCGCGGCGACGCUGGCAAUGCCAGAGAUGGUGAUCCCGAUGAGCUGCAUGUACACGCCGCUGCACCUCAUUGAGCCCAGUCACCUCGUUCUGGGCGCAGCCAUUGACGAGCUGUGCUGUGCAAACUGCGGCGCCUUUUGCAGCAUGCACAGCCAGCGCGAGAUGGGCAAGUACUGGGUGUGCGUAUCCUGCAAGCGCCGCAACUCUUUCCAGAGCAACACCGCCAUCACGGAGCAGCACCCGGCGCUGAUGUACGAGACGGUCGAGUUUGUGCUCGCAAACCCGCCGACGCCCGUGGUGGCGCCACCUCAGCCGCAGCCAGCGCCUGCCUUCAUCUUCGUCGUCGACACGUGCAUCCCUUCCGGCGAGAUGGCGUCGUUGCGCACGAGCCUGCUGGAGUCCCUGCAGUAUCUGCCGCGCAACGCCCUCGUAGGCCUCAUCUCCUUCGGCGCCACCGUCUCUGUGUGGGAGCUGGGCGCCAGCUCUGGCGUGGCGAUCAGCAAGUGCUACCUUCUGCGCGGCAACACGGCGAACCCGCCCGAUUCGCUGCAGAGCAUGCUUCAGGUCUCGGAAAAUCAUCCCGUGCGGGGGCGGCUGCUGGCGCCGCUGUGCGAUGUGGAGGCGGCGCUCACCUCGUUGAUCGAGGAGCUCGAGGAGGACGGCGCCGCCGUGCCGUCAUCCAAGCGGCCGCUGCGGGCCACGUCGACGGCGGUGGAGGCGGCCACGUACCUGAUGGAGGCCCUCGCGCCACCACAGAUGACAGCGCAGCAGCAGUACGUACUAUACGGAAAGCACGUAAAAGCCGCUACAGCGCCCGGGGGUAAUGUGAAGAUGGGUAAGAUUCUCCUCUUCACCGGCGGCCCGUGCACGCGCGGCCCCGGCGCCGUCGUCAGCACCGACAAGGCGGACAUGAUGCGCUUCCAUCGCGACAUCAUUGAGGGCGAUACACCCUACUACGAGGCAGCCUUUAACUUCUACAACGCGCUCGAGCCGCGGAUGAUAGCCGCGAACACGUGCCUCGACGUCUUCGCUCAGUCCCUUGACCAAGUUGGUGUCAUGGAGAUGCGCCGCUGCAUCGACAACACCGGUGGCACGCUCAUCGUCGAAGAUGAGACGACUGACAUCAUGUUUCUGGAGUCGCUGAAGCGUUACUGGCAGCGCUGCGAUUUGCGGGCCGGCACAGAGCGCGCCUUGGCGGCAGCGCAGGAAGGCAUGUCCUCUUCGGGUGUCGACGGCAGCUACAGCAGUGAGGACCACAGAGCUCACUGCGGAUUCGCUGUGCACAUGGAGGUGAACACGUCCGUCGGCACGCUGCUGCGCGGUGCGCUCGGUCCGUGCAACGUGGACGUGGAGGCGAACAAGCGCGGGCCUACGCGGCUCACCUCACCACUGGAGGUGGGCGCUGGUGGCACGACGCGCUGGUGCGUCAGCUACCUCGACAAGGGAAUGACGCUUUCAUUCCUGUUUGACACAGCCACCGCCAGCAGCCAGCAGAGUGGCGCAGAGAGCGCGCAUGAGAAGCGCUUCAUCCAGUUCGUCACGCGCUACACCACGCCGCGCGGCGAGCAGCGGGUGCGCGUGACGAGCGUCGUGCAGCCCGUCGCCCCGCCGACAGCGCCGCCGGACUACUACACGAAGGCUGCCGCCUUUGAUCAGACGUGUGCGGCGACGAUCGUGGCGCGCAUGGCGGUGAGCAUACUCGAGAAGCAUCCGGGCAAGUGGGAUGACGCCAAGCGAUGGCUGGACACGCUGCUGGUGCGCUUCGUGCGGCGCUACUCCACCUUCUCCCCUGGUCAACCGAACACGUUGCGCCUCGACCCGUGCCUCUCCCUCUUCCCAUCCUUCAUGUACAACCUGCGCCGCUCCGAGUACUUCAUGGUGCUCAACAUCUCGCCUGAUGAGACGACGUUCAAGCGCCACUGGCUGCUGCGCGAAUCCGUCGACAAUUGCGUGCUCAUGAUCCAGCCCACGCUGGACUCGUACGACUUGGCGAGCCCGUUCGCGACGCCCAUGCAGCUCGACAGCAGCAGCCUGCGUCACGACAACAUUGUGCUGAUGGAUGCCUACUUUAACGUCCAUAUCAUGUGGGGCAGCAUCAUCUACCAGUGGAUCGAGGCAGCCUACCACGAGAACCCCGAGUACGCCAACUUUGCCGAGCUGCUGGAGGCGGCGGAGCGUGACGCGCAGAUGAUCUUGUCGAGCCGCUACCCGUACCCGCGCUUCUCGCGCACGGACGCCGACGGCUCCGAGGCGCGCCACGUAAAGACGCGCGUGAACCCGGCCACCAACUACCACAACUCGGGCAUGCAGUACGGCGCCGGCCCCAACGGGGCGGUGGAGCAGGCCGACGUCAUCUACACAGAUGAUGCCUCUAUCAUGACGUUCAUGACCUCGCUCAAGAAGGCAGUAGUGACCUCCGACGGCAAGGAGGAAGCGUAGCGCGCAGCUGCUGCCAUGUCGCGCCACCUUUAUUUUCGCUCUCUCUUCGUCGAUGACGCAUGGCACCGUCGAUCUUGCCGUGCGCCAUAUGUGUCCCCCCCUCCUCAUCGCAUCUUGGUCUCUCUCGCCCCUCCAGCUGUUUCUCUCUCCCUCCAUGGCAUUCAGCUCAUGACCCUGACAGGGCUGCCGAGAGGUGUAUCCUUGUGUGAGCGUCGUCGGCGCCGGUCACGUGCUCGCCUGCUUUUCUUUUCGUUUGUGUUGUUCUCAUUUCUGUUGCUCGCGUGUGUGCAUGUGAGUGUGUGUGUGUGUGUGAUCUUGUGUUGUCAUCUCCCUCAACGUCUUGUGAUUUCUUUUCGUUGUUUGUUGGCAUGUCUGUGCGCCGGGUGGCGGAGAUGGGGCGGUGUGUCUGUGUAUGUGAGAGGGGAGUAGAGGCUAUAUGGCCUCCCUUCGUUUUGGAUUGCCCAUGCUGUGUUAGUCGCGGGAGUGAAUGACUGUCUGUGUCACACCAUCCCCGUUGUAUGUGCGUGCGGGGGUGUGUUCUUUGAGCAUUUUCGUUUGUUUUCUAUUGUGUCUGCGCCCUCCUCCCUGACACCCGGUGGGCUGUGUUUUCGUGCAGCGGUGUGUGUGUGUGUGUGUGUGUGUGUGUGUGUGUGUGUGUGUGUGUGUGUGUGUGUGUCUGCGUCAGUGUGCUCCCCCGCCCCGUCCCUCCGCGCUUCCGAGUGGGAAGACGAGAGGGAAAGGGACCUCGAGUACGGUCUGAGACCGUCCCUCCACCCCUCUCACUCCCACCUACAACCGAACGGAACCCAAGAGGAAAUGCAGCGCAAGCCGCACGCACGCGCACUUUUCCUUGCGUGCGUGAGUGCUGGCGUGCGUGUGCCAAUCAAGCGCUUCACGAGUGGUGUGCCCAAUCGAUCUAUGCGCAAACGGCCACAUAAGGGUAUGUGUGUACAUGGAGGGACGCAAUAGUCAAGAUCAGAGUUGGCGUGUGCAUGCACCACCAUAAGGGCACGAUGCCUCGCCGCUGGAGCGCACGUGAGGGUGUGCGCGUGUGCGUGUGCGCGGCUGAGCAAUACGCCGGUAAAUAUCUGACAGACC
rnacentral:misc_RNA from 1 species